rnacentral:rRNA from 1 species
GUGAACGCUGGCGGUAGGCCUCACACCUGCCAGUCGCACGGCAGCACAGUAAGAGCUUGCUCUUCCGGGUGGCGAGUGGCGGACGGGUGAGGAAUACAUCGGAAUCUACUUUUUCGUGGGGGAUAACGUAGGGAAACUUACGCUAAUACCGCAUACGACCUACGGGUGAAAGCAGGGGAUCUUCGGACCUUGCGCGAUUGAAUGAGCCGAUGUCGGAUUAGCUAGUUGGCGGGGUAAAGGCCCACCAAGGCGACGAUCCGUAGCUGGUCUGAGAGGAUGAUCAGCCACACUGGAACUGAGACACGGUCCAGACUCCUACGGGAGGCAGCAGUGGGGAAUAUUGGACAAUGGGCGCAAGCCUGAUCCAGCCAUACCGCGUGGGUGAAGAAGGCCUUCGGGUUGUAAAGCCCUUUUGUUGGGAAAGAAAAGCAGCAGGUUAAUACCCCGCUGUUCUGACGGUACCCAAAGAAUAAGCACCGGCUAACUUCGUG